AACCAUAGAAACCUGCGGAGUACCUGCGGAGGGAUCAUUACCGAGUUUACAACUCCCAAACCCCUGUGAACAUACCUAUACGUUGCCUCGGCGGAUCAGCCCGCGCCCCGUAAAACGGGACGGCCCGCCCGAGGACCCUAAACUCUGUUUUUAGUGGAACUUCUGAGUAAAACAAACAAAUAAAUCAAAACUUUCAACAAUGGAUCU
rnacentral:misc_RNA from 1 species